rnacentral:snoRNA from 1 species
UUGCACAGCGAACACCCAAGGAUGCUAACGUGGCUCUCCCUGGUCUCUCAUGUCUGUGCUACAGUGAUUCUGAUCUUUUCCUCUGCAUUAGGAGAGUUUUAGUCUCUGCUACAUGUAUUCAGCUGAUCAGAACAUAU